rnacentral:lncRNA from 1 species
CUCCCCUUUAGGUGACCCCCCAAGUAUAUCAUAUAUGUGAGAGUUUUAAAGAGUUAUUACAAGAUUAUUACAAAAUCAAAUAAGAACAAACCCAACAACAACAAAAUUAACUUAAAACAAAAUAUAAAACUCCAUCCAAAUCUCUUAACCAGACGACUCUUCAACUUGAUCAAAAAUGUCCAAACCUGCUGAAUAAGAAGAAGAUACGAGCAUAUACAAUACACCAAGACAAUAAUACUCGCACAAUAUUACUCAUUUUAACAUAUAGGUAGAAAACA